rnacentral:tRNA from 1 species
GGCUCUGUAGCUCAGAAGGUAAGAGCGCCGGUCUGAAAAAUCGGAGGUCGGGAUGUCGAGAAUCCCUGGAGCCGCCA